CUCGGAACCUAGCUGGACUUCGAUGGAAAAAGCUUUAGCAGCCAGCUUGUGAGCUAACGUGUUUGACCAUCGGGAGACAUGGGCAAACCGAACUGUAGCUGAAGAAGAUAACUCCCUUAUGUCAUGAAUUAGGGUCUCAUUCUCACUGAAAUCUUCAAUUUCACCUUCGAUCAUCUUUAUUGUUGUGAGAGAAUUGGAUUCAAUGACAAAUUGACCCAAGUUGUGAUGGAGACCCAAAAGAACACCCUCUAAAAUCGCAGAAAUUUCACCUCGCAGGGGAGAAAGCAGAAACGCUUUGAGUUUGAUCUUGGCCACAAUCACCUCGCCACUUUCAUCACGAUAAAUUUGCCCCAGACCCGUGCUUCCCGAAACUGUCUGACAAGAGGCGUCGCCAUUUAUUUUGAACCAGCCCAGAUUAGGAGGCCGCCAACGCUCCAAACAUCCCUAUCAUUAACAGUCCGAGACUGGCAAAGGUGGUUCCUGUCAUUCCAGAGAGACCAGCACGUAACACAGGCAAUUUCGAGAUCCUUCUUGCACAGAGUACUAUCCAGAUUUCGGGCUCUUUUACAAGUGAAUAAAGCGUGAUCAAUCGACUCAAUCGACUUAGAGCACUGAGGGCAUAAAGGUGAAAUUCCAAUCCCUUUUUCUCAAGAUUUGCUCUAGUUGGGAUACACCCAUUGUAGAUUCGCCAGAUAAAAAUCUUAAUCUUCGAGGGAAUUUUAAGCUUCCAUAGUGUUUGCCACCACUGUGUGAUUUGAUUAUGGCUUGAAGACGUUGCAUUACCUUUGAGAAACAUGUGGAAUUUGUAACCACUUUUAACUGAGUAUUUCCCUCUCUUGUCAAAAUGCCACAGCCAAGAAUCUUGAAUUCCCGAUUUACUAAUAGGAAUCUCAUUAACUCUAUUCCUCAGUUGAUCAAUAUCCCACUCAAAAUUUGGGGUGAUGAAAUCAACCACCCUCCUAGAGUCAGAAUCAUCACUAUGAGAAGCGAGUUGGAAAGUGCCCUCCCUUGAGAUCCAUUUGUCUUUAAGAAACCAAAUCGAAUUGUCAUUUCCCACCUUCCAUCUUAGCCCUUGGGAAAGAAGAUCUCUUCCUCAAAGAAGGCCUUUCCACAUAUAAGAAUCAGGUGAAUGCUCAUUCACUUCAAGAACCGAAACAUCCGGGAAAUAUUUACCCUUUAGUAUUUUGGACAGAAGCAAAUUUGACAUC